ensembl:ncRNA F54F3.6 ncRNA
UCCAUAGGGAAUUCUAUGCAAUUCUAAAAUGUAUCCAUCCUGGGUUGAUACAUCGUAAACCAUUGCAGGAUAUCCCAUCUCAUUAUAAUUUGAGGCUGAACAUAAAGUUUAUCCGGAGAAGUGUAUAUUAG